ACUUCUUUAUCACCGAGUGCUUGCACUCACCGAUAAAGAGUUGAGUGGCGAACGGGUGAGUAACACGUGGGCAACCUGCCCAAAAGAGGGGGAUAACACUUGGAAACAGGUGCUAAUACCGCAUAACCAUAGUUACCGCAUGGUAACUAUGUAAAAGGUGGCUAUGCUACCGCUUUUGGAUGGGCCCGCGGCGCAUUAGCUAGUUGGUGGGGUAAAGGCUUACCAAGGCAAUGAUGCGUAGCCGAACUGAGAGGUUGAUCGGCCACAUUGGGACUGAGACACGGCCCAAACUCCUACGGGAGGCAGCAGUAGGGAAUCUUCCACAAUGGGCGAAAGCCUGAUGGAGCAACGCCGCGUGGGUGAAGAAGGUCUUCGGAUCGUAAAACCCUGUUGUUAGAGAAGAAAGUGCGUGAGAGUAACUGUUCACGUUUCGACGGUAUCUAACCAGAAAGCCACGGCUAACUACGUGCCAGCAGCCGCGGUAAUACGUAGGUGGCAAGCGUUAUCCGGAUUUAUUGGGCGUAAAGGGAACGCAGGCGGUCUUUUAAGUCUGAUGUGAAAGCCUUCGGCUUAACCGGAGUAGUGCAUUGGAAACUGGGAGACUUGAGUGCAGAAGAGGAGAGUGGAACUCCAUGUGUAGCGGUGAAAUGCGUAGAUAUAUGGAAGAACACCAGUGGCGAAAGCGGCUCUCUGGUCUG
rnacentral:rRNA from 1 species